GGCAAAGUGCUCGAGUGGUUAAGAGGUCAGUCUCGAAAACUGAUAGCGUUUCGCUGCGCAGGUUCGAAUCCUGCCUUUGUCG
rfam:Cryptosporidium parvum Iowa II chromosome 8, whole genome shotgun sequence.